GGGUUGGGAGAGGUGUCUGUCCCAGGAAUGUGCCAUGGCAUCCUGCUCAACUACAAAGUGACAAUACUGAAAUUUUUUUUCAGUCACUUCUAUGUAAAUAAUAAAACCUAAACUUUUUCUGCCUAAUACAAAAUAAUAUGACUGAUGCAAAUGCCAGUGACUUCAGUCAUGGUAGAGCUUUUCUUGCUAGACUGUUACAAGUAUCUACAGGGCUGUUGCUAAUAUAAACUCAGACUUGUCCCACAAAGCCCUUGUAUGAUUGUCUAUUUAGUGCUGUGAUAUUUCUCAGCAAAAGCUAAUAUUUGAGCUGAAAUUUCUACCACUUGACUAGAAAGACUAAAAUAGUUCUACCCCCUGUUAAACUUUCUCCUGCUGUGUAAUAACCCUUGCUCCCUACAGUUUCUACUCAAACCUCUAGUCUCGGAAUCAGUAAAACCUGUUAUUUUCCUUAGUUUAUUAUGUUUCAGAGGAAGGCAGGACUGCUUUGGGGAGUUAUUUCCAUUAUGUGUGAAUGAAGAUCACAUGGUUUCUAAAUUCUAGCGCAAGACCCUGAAAAUGCACAGGGAUUACCUCUUGGAGCUCCAGUAUCAACCUACUCGCCAUUGGAUCGAGCUGUAACCCAGAGCUGUGCCACGGGUUAUGAUGUAGUGUUUAGGCUAGAUGACAUGGUUUGCUCAAGAACACAGUUUUACUUGAUGGUGAUAUUUUUUCUGAUUCUUUUUUAACCCAGCAGUUGUGACUCUUGGAGCAAAACCAGCGGCCUUACCUGACCAGGGAAUUCAGUGCACACUCUCGGCUGCCUGAUUCAGGUCCCCAAACAACAAGCCAUGCAGGCCCUGGCUACUUUCCUGCUGCUGUGCCAGGGCAGGGAAGUUGGUUGAAUUCAUGAAUGUGGAACCCACAGAUACAGAAGACUGACUGUAUAUGCAGAUCGUCUAAACUGGAACACUUGAGAGAAUAAACAGGGGCACUAUUGAUAAUUAUGCCAGGACAAUGGAUAUAAAUUGGUUCUUCCAGGCUCUACAAAUCCAGAUUCACUCCUGACAAGCAUUUCCUCUCUGGCCACAUCUGGUGUAUUUCAUCCCUAUAUAACCAGAUAGUGAGCAGUUUCAAUUUCAGACCAGGACACACAAGAAUGCCAAGGAUCAAGUGAGAAUGCAAGAAGAGAGGGGUAUUCAUUACUCAGUUAGCUACUGGAGGCAGAGAAACUGCAAGCUGAAGCAAGAACAGAGCUCCUGGGGAAAAACAAAUUAUAGACUUGGGGUCUGGUCAAAGGUCUUUCUUCAGAGGAAUGGGUGCUAAGUGGCACUAAUCAGUCACUUGUUUAAAAGUUGUUGAGAAAAAGAAAUGAACUAUCUUUAAAUCCUCCUCAUAUAAAAAUACCAUUGCUGGAGUUCCCGUCGUGACGCAGCAGAAACGAAUCCGACCAGGAAC